UCCGGUUUGGCACCGGCAGUCUCCCACGAGUCGCCGACCCUUUCGGGCGACUACUGCCAACAUGUCAAACCCCGGUAAGGUUCUUCGCUUUGCAUCGAAUUAAGCCACGCGCUCCGCCGCUUGUGCGGGCCCCCGUCAAUUCCUUUGAGUUUUAGCCUUGCGGCCGUACUCCCCAGGCGGGGUGCUUAAUGCGUUAGCUGCGGCACGGAAGUCUUGCGACCCCCACACCUAGCACCCACCGUUUACGGCUAGGACUAC
rnacentral:misc_RNA from 1 species